rnacentral:miRNA from 1 species
CUUCCAGUAGCACCUUGGAGACCAGCUAAGUUUGUUAUUGGUAUGAACUUUCGUGUGCAUGCACACUUCUUCAGAUACCAAUAACUCAUACCAAUAACAAACUUAGUUGGUCUCUAAGGUGCUACUGGAAG